rnacentral:rRNA from 1 species
GACGAACGCUGGCGGCGUGCUUAACACAUGCAAGUCGAGCGGUAAGGCCCUUCGGGGUACACGAGCGGCGAACGGGUGAGUAACACGUGGGUGAUCUGCCUCGCACUCUGGGAUAAGCCUGGGAAACUGGGUCUAAUACCGGAUAUGACCUUACAUCGCAUGGUGUUUGGUGGAAAGAUUUAUUGGUGCGAGAUGGGCCCGCGGCCUAUCAGCUUGUUGGUGGGGUAAUGGCCUACCAAGGCGACGACGGGUAGCCGGCCUGAGAGGGCGACCGGCCACACUGGGACUGAGACACGGCCCAGACUCCUACGGGAGGCAGCAGUGGGGAAUAUUGCACAAUGGGCGAAAGCCUGAUGCAGCGACGCCGCGUGAGGGAUGACGGCCUUCGGGUUGUAAACCUCUUUCGACAGGGACGAAGCGUAAGUGACGGUACCUGUAGAAGAAGCACCGGCCAACUACGUG